AUCCCUCAUUCUACUUAGACACCAAACCCCAGCCGUUUUCCUUUAUCUCAACUCCCUAUCUCCCACUCGGCCUAACCCUUCAACCCUUAUCGACCUAAACAACCCCCACGGCCACCACGGCCACCAUGGCCUAAAGCUCCGAUGAAGAGCCCCCUCAUGCACAAACCCACUCCACGAACAACCUUGAACCCCGACCUCAAAAUUCCUCAGAUCAGAAACUCGAAACCUAAGGGUUAAAACAAUCAAGACCCUUACUUUUUGCAGCUAAAGGUUUUCACAAACCUAGAUCUACGGUGGUAAGGCGUUUACCUUCGAAAAAUUGGCGACUUUACUCCGAUGGACAAGGUUUUGACGCUAUCGAGGUUUUUUUGACUGGAUGGUUUCGUUACUGAUGGUGGUUUCUCGUUCACUCUCCUCUGUUUUUUUGUGUGUGUUUUUCUUUCUUUCUUUUUUUACCCUUUUUUUAUCUAUCGUUGAUAAUCACUGACCCCCGGUUUGUUUUUUCGUUGUUGCUUUUAUCCUCCUGCCUCUCCCAUCUCCACGCAUCCUCGGAAAAGCUAAAGAAUCGGUGCAUGCGAGGUAUGGGCUUAAGCCGACAGAGCCUGGGUAGCAGCAUCGGUUACGGUGGACGGCCGACCAGCAUGGGUAGGUGCUGCAUGCGUGCGUUGCCUCGGUCUCGGUGGGUUCACACAUUGUCUCGGGUUCCUGUGCUGUCCCGAGGAGUGCUGGGUGGAAACAACGCACUGUCUUGGAGUUCCAGAUGGGUCUGCGCACGCUGGCUCGGGUUCCUGUACCCGCUCGAGGAUCACAGAUAGCUGGGGACCGUUGGAUCUAAAUUACAGAUCCAACGGACUUCAUGUUGCGGCGCUGGAGGCUGGGAUAGGAAACCCUAACGGGCCUAGGGUUUCUCCAAGAGGCUGCAGAACUGGGCUCACGAAAUUCGGGCUUGGUGUUGGGCAGCUAAACUUCAUUGGCUCGGGCCUGUUGUAAUUUGUAUUAAUUUGGACCUGUAAACAUAAAAUCUUAUUUUAGUGA